GCGCUGCCGCUACACUAGUGUGCAGAAACCGGAGGAGCCCCUCUGACUUUCUCCCGCUUCAUUUCCGGCUAAUGCCCUAAUAUCCAACCCGAACUGGUGUCCAGACCGCGUGGGGGUAACCGACGAGUUCCCUGAGAGCUACGUUUGGAUGAAAGCUGGGAUGACAUGUAAAUAAACAACACUGAAGUGAAGACAACUGACCACCAAGGGCAGCGACGAGGCAGACCACAGAACGCAGGAGGCCUGGGGAAAUCAUUAACCGCACACAUACAAU
ensembl:lncRNA